GUUUCUCAGGGCAUUGUCAUCUCGGAUGGAUAGCCCAUACAUUUGCUGAUUGAGAUACUGUUGCUGACCAUACCCAUAUGCUCCCAUUUGGUUGCCAUACAUUUGCUGAGGAUACAUCGAACCCAUCUGGCCAGCUGGCAUUUGCUGAGGAUACAUUGAACCCAUCUGGGCCCCCGGCACUUGCUGAGGAUACAUUGAACCCAUCUGGCCCGUUGGCAUUUGCUGAGGAUACAUGGAACUCAUCUGGCCCACAGGCAUUUGCUGUGGAAGCAUGCCUGUAUACUGUGGUGCUCCCUGGAUUGGCUGUGGAUGAUAACCAGCAAACUGGUUUCCCAGAGCCACAUGAUUAUUAGUCGUUGGUAAAUGACCAGUUGUGG
rnacentral:lncRNA from 1 species